rnacentral:snRNA from 1 species
GGAUGUGAGGGUGAUCUGGCUGCGACAUCUGUCACCCCAUUGAUCACCAGGGUUGAUUUGGCUGAUCGGGCUGGCUAGGCGGGUGACCCCGUCCUCCCUCACCGCUCCAUGGGUGUCCCUCCCGAAGCUGCGAGCUCGGUCGAGGAGGACGGCCUUACCAGAACAGAGACCGGCCUUCUUCGGUUGAGGGUAUAUGAGUAGCUGUGCUCCCUUGCUAGAACCUCCAAACAAGCUCUCAAGGAUAGGACAGAGAGAAAUGGAGAGAGGAGGGAAGGAUAGAGAGGGGGAGAGAAGGAGAGACACCUGCAGACCUGCUUCACCACUUGUGAGUGACUCCCUGCAGGUGGGG